GACAUAUUCCGGUUGAUCCUGCCGGAGGUCAUUGCUAUCGGAGUCCGAUUUAGCCAUGCUAGUUGCACGAGUUUAGACUCGUAGCAUAUAGCUCAGUAACACGUGGCCAAACUACCCUACAGACCGCGAUAACCUCGGGAAACUGAGGCCAAUAGCGGAUAUAACUCUCAGGCUGGAGUGCCGAGAGUUAGAAACGUUCCGGCGCUGUAGGAUGUGGCUGCGGCCGAUUAGGUAGAUGGUGGGGUAACGGCCCACCAUGCCGAUAAUCGGUACAGGUUGUGAGAGCAAGAGCCUGGAGACGGUAUCUGAGACAAGAUACCGGGCCCUACGGGGCGCAGCAGGCGCGAAACCUUUACACUGCACGACAGUGCGAUAAGGGGACUCCAGGUGUGAGGGCAUAUAGCCCUCGCUUUUCUGAACCGUAAGGUGGUUCAGGAACAAGGACUGGGCAAGACCGGUGCCAGCCGCCGCGGUAAUACCGGCAGUCCAAGUGAUGGCCGAUAUUAUUGGGCCUAAAGCGUCCGUAGCUACUUUCC
rnacentral:rRNA from 1 species